rnacentral:rRNA from 1 species
AGAACGAACGCUGGCGGCAGGCCUAAUACAUGCAAGUCGAACGCACUCUUCGGAGUGAGUGGCAGACGGGUGAGUAACGCGUGGGAACCUUCCAAUGGUACGGAAUAACUCCGGGAAACCGGUGCUAAUACCGUAUAAGCCCCUCGGGGGAAAGAUUUAUCGCCAUUGGAUGGGCCCGCGUCGGAUUAACUAGUUGGUAAGGUAAUGGCUUACCAAGGCUACGAUCCGUAGCUGGUCUGAGAGGAUGAUCAGCCACACUGGGACUGAGACACGGCCCAGACUCCUACGGGAGGCAGCAGUAGGGAAUCUUGGACAAUGGGCGAAAGCCUGAUCCAGCCAUGCCGCGUGAGUGAAGAAGGCCUUAGGGUUGUAAAAGCUCUUUUGGCGGGGACGAUAAUGACGGUACCGCAGAAUAAGCCCGGCUAACUUCGUGCCAGCAGCCGC